UACGGAGGGUGCAAGCGUUGUCCGGAAUCAUUGGGUUUAAAGGGUCCGUAGGUGGAUAAUUAAGUCAGAGGUGAAAUCCUGCAGCUCAACUGUAGCAUUGCCUUUGAUACUGGUUAUCUUGAGUUAUUAUGAAGUAGUUAGAAUAUGUAGUGUAGCGGUGAAAUGCAUAGAUAUUACAUAGAAUACCGAUUGCGAAGGCAGAUUACUGAUAAUAUACUGACACUGAGGGACGAAAGCGUGGGGAGCGAACAGGAUUAGAAACCCCAGUAGUCC
rnacentral:rRNA from 1 species